rnacentral:rRNA from 1 species
CAACGUAGGGGGCGAGCGUUGUCCGGAAUGAUUGGGCGUAAAGGGCGCGUAGGCGGCCUGUUAAGUCUGGAGUGAAAGUCCUGUUUUCAAGAUGGGAAUUGCUUUGGAUACUGAUGGGCUUGAGUGCAGGAGAGGUUAUCGGAAUUCCCGGUGUAGCGGUGAAAUGCGUAGAGAUCGGGAGGAACACCAGUGGCGAAGGCGGUUAACUGGACUGCAACUGACGCUGAGGCGCGAAAGCGUGGGGAUCAAACAGGAUUAGAUACCCUGGUAGUCCACGCUGUAAACUAUGAUAACUAUCUUUUAGCGAUACACAGUUAGAGGGUACGAGAAAGCAUUAAGUUAUCCACCUGGGGUUUACGUUCUCAAGAAUGAAACUCAAAUGAAUUGACGGGG